rnacentral:lncRNA from 1 species
GGAGAUAGGUUUGGGGACAUUUUAUUUUAUCCCCCCCCCCCCCCCCUCCCUCCCUCCCUCCCUGUCGUGUGUCUUGUCUCUGUUUUUUCUUUUCUUUCUUGCUUCUCUGUUCUGUUACAUUCCUUUACUCUACUAUUAUGAAGGAUUCUUAUAAACAAAACCUAAUUCGACAAGCAAUCGACAGCACAUUGAAGUACAUAAUGCGAUAAGAAGGUACAUGGUUGUGUUGUUAUGAUAUUAUUACCAGAUUUAUUCUCUAUCCUGAAUUCAUGACAUUAUUUGUGGUUUCUGACUAAAAUUGAAGGCCAUGGCUGCAAUUAAACUCUACGAUACGUUUAAUCGAUUUACUUUAGACGGUCACCUCACGAGCAAUAUUUUCAUCAUUGAGUUAUUUUAUUAUUUUUAUAUCAAAUAAUUUUUUUACAGUGAAAGAAUACAAUUAUAUGUUGAAUUCUAGAAUACAUUAAGGGUAUGUUUGAAUUCAAUCAAGUAUAGUUUUGCAAAUUUUUCUACUUUAAUAGUGUGUGAUUGAUUUUGUUGUGGUACACAUUCUACAAUUAGACUCUGAUGAGAGGAGAUACUGUCAAUUCCAUACUCUAUGUUUACACUAAAAUUUUAAUUGAGUUUAAAUGCAAACAUCCUAAUACAAUAGCAAAUGUAACUUGAUAUCUGGUUUUUUUUUUUUGAGAGAAAGAACUUGAUAUCUGGUUUAUAUUGUAUUGUUUUUUAUUCAGUGUUUUGAACCUGAAUUAUACCAAAUGAGAAAAUAUUAACCAGAAAGUUUCCUUAAGCACUAUUGAGAUUCUCGUGUCUGUUAAUGUGUGGAAUUAUCAACCAUUUCAAGUUAUGCACUCUUUGCUUGUGCGACCUGGAACACAUCUUGUAAAAGUGAAAUUUGAAGACUUGAUUGCUGCUAGAGGAUCAAGAUUUUGUAAAGCAGGGAAGGUCAUUUGAUGCUUUUGUUGGAAGCCUUGGAGGUAUAUGUUUUUAUCCCGAAUGACAGUUGCAGCUGGUUCAUGGCAUUCGAUGAAGUAUAUAUACAGAAUUUGUUGGAGGUAUGUUUUUUUAUUCCUUGUGAGCAUGUGAGCGUAUACUACAUCAACACAAGGUACUUGUUCUGUUUCUGUGUUAGUUAAGGGAUCUUUGCCAUGUCAGGUGCGCUUGCAUGCCAGGUCUGAAAUAUCUUAAUAAAAUUAUAGUUAUUUUGUUUUGAGAGGUGAGGGAGAGAUAGGUUUGGAGACAUUUUCUUCUAUUUCUUUGCCUGGCCUCUCCCCCUCUCUGCUGUGUGUCUUGCCUCUUCUGUCUCUCCUAGCCUCUCUUUUUCUAUUAUGUUGCUUUCCUUUACUAUUAUGCGCCACACAUACUAAUAACAAGAUUCUAAUUAACAAAACAUAAUCGGCAACACAUUGAGGUACACAGUGCGAUGACAAGGUGCAUGGUUAUGUUGUUAACCUGAAUUUGUGGCAUUACUUGUGGUGUAUUGAUUAAAAUUGAAGGCUAUGAAUUGAAGGCUAUUUCUGUAAUUGAACUCUACGAUAUGUUCAUUCUAUUCACUUAAGACAGUCACGAGCAAUAUUUACAUCAAUAUUUUAUUAUUUAUAUCCGUUACCAUUUUUUCGCGAUUUUUAGAAAUAAACUUGUGGUUAAAUGAUACAUUUAGGAUAUAUUUUGUGAUUUCUAGAAAUAAAUUUUCACAGUUAAAUGACACAUAGGAUAUGUUUGAAAUCAAUCAAAUUUCUGUUUGCAACUGUAGGAGCCUGCACUUGAUUUUGUAGUGUUACACAUGUUACAAUUAGACUCAGAUGAGCACAAGAUUACCGUCGAUUCGGUAUUGUGUUUAUAAGUGUUAAACAUAUUAAUACCCGGUGUCUGUUAAAUAGUGGUGCUAUAGCACUGUUGUAUAGCGGAGUUAGAUUAGACUGCUAUAGUGCUAUUUUCUGUGAUUUGUGAUUGCCAACAAUGCUUGUACCUUUUCAUUCCGCUCAAAGCAUUAAAUCUUUAUAAUAACAGACUUGAUUUGGUAUUGGAUCAUCCAAAUUAUCUGACAGUUAACUUCUUUUGUGAAGACAAUAGAUAAAAAUGCAGAUGCUAGUUGACAUGAAAUGUGUUUGAUAUCACUUGGUUGUAAAUCGGAUAUUCCAUGUUUAUAAUUUAGAAGCUGCGGCAUAUCUCAGAGUAGCAGGAAUUGAGGCAUACACCCUAACUCACUACUCUUCAUCACAUGACAAAGUGAAUUUAUUUAUUCAUUGAGGAUGAAGAAAAGGGAAUGAAAGAAAGAAGAGAAUGAAGAUGUGUUCUAUAAUAUAAUUAUUGACAGGUAGACAAUUCACUCAACAAAAUCAAUGGAGAAGCACAAUUUCUUGUUAGAAGUACCGAUGAACUCCUAUUUAUUGUACUGAGAGACAGAGUAUUUUUUAGGGGAUAAAAUGGAAUUUCAUGAUUUUAUUCCUCAGACAAAAAAUGUUUUAAUAAACUUCAGUUUAUGAUAUAAUUUUCAAAAAAGAAUGAUCUGUAAAUUUAGGCCCGUGAUUUACAAUUAAUUUUAAUAAGAUAUUUUUAUUGUAGGAAUAUUGAAAACAGAGUGAUGUGUAAGGUAGCUUUCUUUUUCUUGAGAGUCUGUCAGUCGCACAUGAUAAUUUGUUUGGAUGAACAGGCCAUUUUAUAACAUACAAAUAAACCGGCUUUUUCAACUAUAAUGAAUUUGUUAUUAGAUGUGUCUGAACCCUAUGAUGGAUCCAUAUGCUCGUAUUGGAAUGAGCCCCCAAACUGCUUUGUAUGGGAGAUUGGUGGUUCGACUCCACCUGGAUCCGACUUUUGUCAAUCAUGUUUAUGCAUAGCAAUUAGCACUCAUCUUCAUAUGUCCGCUAAAUCAAGUUGUGGCGGCAUGUAUGAAAGGCCUUGAUAGUGUUAAGAGGUGUACAAUUGAAGAGAGUUUAAGAGUAAGUUAGCAGGUUACUUUCACUCUCUAAGGCAAAUAUUGUGAAAUAAUUUAUAAAUGAUAUUUUUUUUAUUUAAUCAUUUAGAAAUAAUACUGAUGUCAAGCUUGUUAAAUACUUGGCAUAAAUAUCAUGCAUGCAAGUGAUUAGUUAGUUGGUAAGAAAUCUUAAGUA